rnacentral:piRNA from 1 species
GGGAUAGUAGGUAACAGGCUUUUGCA